rnacentral:rRNA from 1 species
CCUACGGGUGGCAGCAGUGAGGAAUAUUGGUCAAUGGGCGAGAGCCUGAACCAGCCAAGUCGCGUGAGGGAAGACUGCCCUAUGGAUUGUAACCCUCUUUUGUCGGGAACCAAAGACCCCACGUGUCGCGUUUUGAGAGUACCCGAAGAAAAAGCAUCGGCUAACUCCGUGCCAGCAGCCGCGGUAAUACGGAGGAUGCGAGCGUUUUCCGGAUUUAUUGGGUUUAAAGGGUGCGUAGGCGGAAGAUCAAGUCAGCGGUAAAAUUGCGGGGCCAAACCGCGUCGAGUCGCGGAAAAUGGUUGUCUUGAGGGAGCGAGAGGUAUGCGGAAUGCGUGGUGUAGCGGUGAAAUGCAUAGAUAUCACGCAGAACUCCGAUUGCGAAGGCAGCAUACCGGCGCGCAACUGACGUUCAGGCACGAAAGUGUGGGGAUCGAACAGGAUUAGAUACCCGGGUAGUC